UAAUUAAAGGUAAAGUACUAUUUAAUAUCAAUUAUAUAUCCAAUUAUUUACUAAAAAAAUAUUUACUUUAAUAGUGAAAAGGCUUUUAGAUGCAUGACAUCUGUCAUUACUUCAAUAAUAGGCCAAAAGGAAAACUUAAAUAAGAAGGUUACAAUUUGAUUGGAGGGAUUUAUUGCAUGAAUUGAUAUCCACUUAUACCAAUCUUCAACACCGCCUUUUCCUUUUCACAUACUAUUAAAAACACCAAGAGAUUGACAUUAAUCUCUGCAUCAGAAGCUCAAUCUUUCCAUGGCUCACACCUUCAAGUCUUCCACUUCUACCACCAGGUCCACCACCAACACCACCACCAGGUCCGCCACCACCAUCACCAGGUCCACCACUAAGCCCAUCACCAACAAAAUAGACCAUGAUCAAAAACAGAAGAAAGUUGUAACUUUUUCACCAGCAUCCAAAUCUCUAACCAGUCAAGUCCACCACCACCAUCACCACCACCACCACCACCACCACAACCACCACCACAAAGCACCAGAAAAAGCCCUCACUAAACCAAAGCCUAAACUAGCCAUGGCACAUGCCGCGGCUACCACCAAGGCCACCACCACCAAGGCCACCAUCAAGUUGGGAAAAGGAGUAGAAGUCAAAGUGACAACCAAAGAAACAGCUUUCAAAGGUGGGAAAGUAGCUUAUAUCACUUAAUUGCAUGCAAGUUCUCACUUUAUAAAGUCGAUGCUGCAGAUGUGAAGGAAUCUAUAGUGGGUUCAUCAUCAGAUCUUGUAAUGUGUUGGGAGAAUUAUGUAUAAGUUUAUUUUACUUUUGGUUGUAGCAGUUGGUGAACAAAAUAACAUCUCUUUUAUAAUUGUGGUUUCAA